CAGGCCGAGAAGCCAGUUUUUGAUCGGCUCAUCGACGCUGAUGAUGUGAAGGACUCCCCCCACCAUAGCUUGCAUCUGCAAGUAUGGGCGCUGUCUGCAACUCGCUUUGCAGAGCAGGUAUUCUGCUGAGAAACCAGUUCUUUAGAGUGCUGGACUGCUCCUUCGAGAUAUGUGUUUCGGGGAAACUUCUCGCAGUUAUGGUCAUUUUGUUCUCUCUUUCCACAAUCUCUGUAUGAGUUGGUUCCCAGUUUGGGCUCCUGGUAUCUUUUUUUUGAAUCUUUAGGACCCUGGUGUGCUACCCUCAGAACUGUUUGCGUUCCCUUCUGUUCUGUUGCUAAGGCAUUGGUCAAGGGGUUGGAUUUCGGUGGCUUUUUAAGCGCGGUUGCCGUUUAGCUUUGCUCCGUUGAGGUGCAAGUGCACGUCGCGGGGAUCAUUGCGCCAUGGGCGGUUUACCGUAUAUACUUUGAAUCAACUCAAACGGGUUUUAUACCAUCGGUUUCAAUUAUAAUCAUCGUUAAUCGGUGCUCUAUUCCUGGACUUUUUUCUAUCCUGCACACGGAGACGCGCCCGACAGGUUAAUACUGCAAAAUCAAUACUGCGGUUUUGGGUGUAAACACCCUUACAUGAAUUAGCUAAAAUCUUCCUAGAGCUACUGAUAAUUUCCAAAAGUAAAGCGUAUAUUGUAUAGGUCUAGGAAGCACAGGAACCAGUUUAUCCCAAUAAAGAUGCAUACCUUUCCAUUUCAGGGUUGUAUGGAAUUUGUUAUGGGUUUUACUAGUUUUCACUUUAAUAGCCUAUGGAGCUUCUUCUAGGAUCUGAUGAGGUAUGGAUAAAUAUUUGUCAGGAAGAGCAGUUGAAAAUGUUUGUUAUAUCUAGAAUGAGAUAGUGGAUGUACCGUGGAGUGUGUGCUUCGGAAAUCAAAUUGACCGAGAAGGAUAGUGUUGGCUUCUAGGUAUUUUAGGAUAUGUCUUUCUAUGAAUUUUCUUUUAGCUAGAGACGGAUAAGCCUAUAUCUCUUCGGGUCCAUGUCAAUACACGUUGAUGAUAUUGGCCUACUUAAAUAAAUUGAAAUGGCAAAUGGCCGUGCAGGAAGAUUGCUUUAGAAAUAAGCAUUCCUCUUGGUGCUUUUUGUUGACUGAGUCAUUUCUAUAUAUACUGAGACGCGGUUUCUUUUUUUCUGGUCACUUCUAAGACGUGAAGGCGUUCGGGGAGAAAGUGUAGAGGAAAUGUCAGUAAAGACCUGUUGCUAGGGAUCGUAAAUGGAAGUUUUUUCUUUUUCUUUAGUAAAUCAAGCCUAAAAAGUUGCACAUGAAUGGUAACCUCGAUUAUUUUAAGUUGCACCUGCCACAUCUUAUUUGUAUGCUCAUCCAGCAUGGUCUAGAUCCCGAAGUGACCCCUAUAGUGAGUAAGUUCUUCAUAAGAAGAUCGUGUAAUCCUGGAAGUAUUCCUCAUCAACAAGGAGAAAUUCGAGUGGUCUCUUCGCACCUUAUAGAGCAUCAGAGAUAUCACCUUAACUUAACCACAGAUGAGUCGAGAGAAUUAGUAAUGUCAGGAGAUGAAGCGAAUAAUUUCUUGUAACUACGCGAUGCAGUACUAAAUUCAACUGGAGGAAGAAAAAUGUUGAGGAUUCCGGGGCGUUGAGUAAACUCUGCCAAAAAAACUAUUUAAUUUAGUCAAUUAUCCUGUACAUCAUGAUUACAAGUACAAAUUCCUUAUUAUUAGACGCCAUAUACAUAAACUUUAUAAAGUUCUCAUGACAACAACGGGUUAUGUUUAUCCUCGCAAGACGUGCAGUAAAGAAAGCAUCGACUUUCGAAAGUCAAUAAAAUCAAUUUCCCAGGGGAAAAACAAUCCCUCGUUCGAUGGCAAUAAGUCGGAAUGGGUCGCGUGACCCGGCCGCAUCAUCGAUCAUAUAAUUUAAUUGGCCGCGGUAGAACCGACAAAAGAGCAUCGGCACGGUCUCAAAGAGGUUACUUCGCACCCGUGUAUCGGGUACUCCUGCGAGCAUUGCAUGCCGACUUAAGAUAUUUAUUGUUAUUGAAUAAAUUUAUAUUGGAAAUACUACGGGGUUCCCUGUUAAGAUGACCUCAGGCUUCGUAGCAUCUUAUUGUCUAUAGUAAUUUUCAUUUCAUGAUUUUCCAGAGAUACUGUAUUGUAAUAUAUGGGGAUUUAAGGCAGUAGAAAAUGAAACAUUCUUCUUUAAUAACAGAUAAAAAGUAUUUAUUUUUCAACAUGAAAAUAGUACAUAGUACGGUUGCAUCCUUCAAAAUAUGUUAAUACAUUCCACCUCGUACAAACCUAGACAUGAUAAUAUAAUAACAAUCUCACUAACCUACUUAUACCAAUUACUUAUUGUAAAUACAUUAUAGUGUACAGUGUGAUUUUAAUACAUAAAUGAUAACUAUAGAUACUACAGAAGCCCUAAAAGAAUAACAAGAUUACAAGACGAGGAAAAUAACUUUUAGUUUAAUAUGGACACAGCAUUUUUUCUUUUUUCCACUGCUAUUAAUAUUGAAUAAAGAAUUAAGCAAUUUUAUACAAAUAUUUGAAUGCAGUUUACUCUAAUACAUAAACAAAGGCUCAGAACUUCCUUUACUAACGUCAAUAAUAAAGCAAACAAUGCGGCCAUACUCCACGACGUCCUACGUGCAAUUAAAGCAGCACAAAUCCCACUUCUGGAUUCGCCCUGACAGCGUAUAUCAAUUAACGGCGUCCUGUAGUCGUUAAGGAAUACUUAACGACGCUUGACCGAUGUUGGCCAAACAAUGGCCCUUUGCGACAUACGUAAUCCAAUAGGGCAAUGACGGAGACAAUGGAUGGACAAUGGUCCGGCACAACGGGAAAGCAUUGUGCGUGCCUUUAGGAAUAAUAAUAUGAGAUGUGCUGUGUGUUCUAGAUAUUUUAAAAGUGAUUGAUUUUAGUCGAGCAUGCGACGGAAAUUUUAUGCAAAUUAAAUGUGAUUUAAUUACACGUAUAUGCAUUAGAUAUGUACAGAAUAUAACAUUUUUCUGUCGCGUCAUUUAUAAGAAAAUACUUUUAGUAUUAAUAAUGGUAACAAUAAUAGUAAAGGAUAGGUAUCACUCCAAAAUGCAAUGUAUAGGCCAUGUAUAGCAAACGUUUAAAAUGAUAUAUGACAAACGCUGAACGAAGACAACAAAAUAAUAAAGUGACGAUAGAAAUUUUUACAAAACCUUCACACAGCACAACAAUUAGAAAAAUAAUAAGUAAAAUCUGUAUUUUUGUGACGGAUUUAUAAUGAGUUACUUAUUUUGUUGGAUAUUACGUCCCUUGUAUUAAAAAUCAAUUUAGAAAAUUGAUUUUGAAAUUUUUGGUAAUUGGACGAUUGAUUAAUAGUCUGUCAAACUAUUGUUCAAAAACGGUAUUAUUUGUGCUCUUAUGACGUUUUUAGUAGCUAUGUCUGCGGCCUGUAUCAUAUUUUCUGAUUCCUGCCAAAGUUUCUUUGAUUUUAUUGUUUAUAACAUUGAGUAACUUUUCUUUCUGCAGCAUGACUGAUACGACUGUUAGAUUUAAGAAACGUGGCGCGAAUUUAAUGUUGCACUCAACCAAAAAACACUGAGAGUCGCGUUUAUUAUAAGAUCUUAGGGAAUUUAACUGUAGUUAUUUAAGUUUAGUCAAUAUAUCACCGAGUGUCUUAAAUUUGUUGUUACCUACACGAAACACGUGUAACCUAUUCUUAUUAUAAAUAUAAGUUGGACAUUCAUGUCAUUAUGUUAAUUGGCAAAGACAUUUGACACCAAUGGCUCACCACAUUCUGUUUAUAUCACCCACGAACUUAAUAAAUAUACCUGGACUGCUAAUGCAUAUGGCCAAAAUACCCAAAAAGACCACUGCCUGGUGGCCUCCAUGUUUAUAGUGGUUGUGUCCUUUUAUUGUUGGUCACUCUGAACAUUUUUAGUGUUGCCAACAAAAAAUUUACUAAAUAAGGUAAUGAAGUUGACGACGCUGACGUUUGACGUGUGAGUACAGUAGAUUGCCUAGUUUUUGGCGAUUUGUAAAUGACGUUUGGGUAUAUCGUCUGGAACAGGCGAUGUAUCUUCCUCCUUAAUUCAUACGUGAAUAAUGAAUGUAUCACCAUCUUUAUUUAAAAGUAUUUGGUUCACUGUUUCCCAAAACCAAAUUAUUAUGAAUUGUCUGUCCGUGUUGUUGAUGAUAGAAUAAUAUAUAGCCUCUUUAGUCCACACGUCCAGCCCGCUGUACAUUUUUCAAAAUACAUUAGUACGGGCUCUCGACGACUUAACGUGAUUUGGAGCCCGCCAUGCACGUGCAGCGGACUGGACGUGCAUACGCCAAAAAAUAUUUUGUUGAAAAUAUUUGGCAACGUUGGAUUUUUUUCAGUUUUGUUUUGACGGAACAGGUGUUGUGUUGUAAAUCAUGGCGUCGUAUCAGAAACUAGGUAACAUUUGCAUUAUUUUCGAUUGUUUUGAUAAAAUACUGAUUAAAAUCAAAUAAAUUGACUGCUAUUUAGUAAAUCAACAAAUAUACGUACAGAAAAUGUAACGUCGCUCUACAGAGUGUUCGGCUUUUGAUUUUGUGCAGUAUCUUGGACGUCGGGACUGUAUUUGAUUCAAGUUUUUACUUUUUACCCAAAAAUUUUAAAUUUUAUUGUUGUUAUUAUUUCGUCUUUUUUUUAAGGUGGUAUGCAACCACUGACGGAUAAAGAUCUUGAAGAGAUUAUAAAUGACAGUGACUUUUACUUGCGCGAUGAUGAUGACGAAAUCACCGCCAAAAACAGUGAAUGAAUUGAGGCAAAUGAUAAUGAAGACGACGAGCCGGCGUCGGCAGACGCAGAUUCGGUUUCUGAUACCAUUGAAGAGAAGUCUGAUGACGAUAAUGUUUCCUUAUCCAGAAUAAGAAAGUACUAGAGAACUGGAGAACCUGCCAGGAGCAAACAAAAAAUAAAACCGCAGAAGUAAAAUGGAAAAGAAAUGUUUUUGAAAGUCGAGAAGAUGUCUACCUUGAUCCGGAAUGGCAGUUACAAGUAUUGAAUAACCCGAUUUGUAUAAAAAAAUCCUAUGCAAAUCAUGCUUCGAUAUGAACACUACUGAAAUAAGAACACUUAUUCUAUUGAGCUGUCUGAUGCCUUACAUAUACAAAGACUGUUCUCCAAAGAAGGUUGCGAUCUAUUAACUAGUGAAUUAAGUUUCCAAUUUAGAAGUAAAAGUUGAGAAAACCAAGUGCAAAAUUAAGGAAUGGUAGUAGUUUGGAGCAAUAAUUGAUGAAAUGAAACAUAAGAAGUGCCUGGAGGACGCAAACAAAAAAUUCCGCGAAAAAAAUCAACUCGAUACACGGAAGCGAACGUGGGGGUAUUGGAUAUUGUGUGCUCACAUGCUGAGCAGUUAAAUAAGAAGCACUACUGUUCAGUAGCAAUGCUGACACUCGAAGAUUUGGAAGAUUUUCGGAAGCUUUUGUAUCUAAAUAGUACCAAAGAAUCGCAGGAUGCAUUUUUGCUUAAGUAUAUGAAGGUUAGUGCACCAAAGCGGCACCGUGUUGAUCCUGAUACCUUACGAUGUCCCAAAAAUAUAUCCGUUAGGUACGAAAUCAGAAAAACGAGUAGUAAUGAACCACUGCAGAUUUGUGCAAAAUCGUUUCAGUCGAUUACAGGUGUAUCGAGGGACCGGCUUGCACGAAUAGCUCGUCUGUUUUUGGAAACUCGCCAAAUACCCAAAGAACAAAGAGAGGGUAACACAACCAAAGAAGAUGAUAGGAAGGUGACUGCAGGUGUGAUAAAUCAUAUAAAAAAAUAUAAGUGUAGGGAUAGUAAUUAUAGUCGCAAGAAAUGCACCCGAGCUUACCUACCACCUGAGUUAAAUUUGUCCAAAAUAUACGAACGUUUCUGUAAGGAGCAAUAUACUAAAAAAAAAAAUAUGCUCCAUGAGUAAAUUUAAAAAAGUAUUCAAUUUAAUCUUGGAUUUGACUCUCCUCACAGUGACACUUAGUCAACUUGCUAGGAACUAUUGAUUAAAGUGAACGUGGAAAAAGAUUUGGAAAAGAGAAAUGAUAUUAGAACCAGGUUAAGAAUCCACAAACUGCGUGCAAAAAGAUAUUUUGAGUUAAUGAAACAUAAAAAUGAAAAUGAACUUGACAUCACUUUUGAUAUGCAGCAAAACCAACCCAUACCAAAACUAUCCAUAGGAGAGGUUUUUUACUUAAGGCAAGUGUGGCUUUAUAAUCUCUGCGUUAUGACUAAUAACACUCCAAUAGAUAAAAAUAAAGUAUCGCUGUACACAUGGCUAAAGACACAAGCUGGAAAAGGAGCUAAUGAAGUAGCUUCUGCGUUAUUAAAUUAUCUGCAAAUUUUGGAACAAAAAAUAAUUAAAAAGGAAAGAGAAUGGGAGCCUAAGGCACUUCGUCUUUUGUCUGAUUCUUGUGCGGCGCAAAAUAAGAACUCCAUACUGAUAGCAGCUUUAUAUAGAUUUCUUGAAAAAUCGAAAGUUUUUUUCAAAAUACAGCAUAUUUAUCCCAUUCGCGGUCACAGCUACAUGCCCCCAGAUAAAGUUUUUGGGAGAAUAGAAAGAGAAUUUCGUAAGCUCGAAAGCAUAGAAACACCUGCUCAAUAUGGGUCUCUACAUGGACAUGUAAAGAAGUGGUGGGAGCAUUGGAAAACUUAUGAUUAUAAAUCUGAGUCUAAAAAGCUAAUAAAACCCAAACUUGCAUUUAAUAUGACACAAUGUAGAAUAAUAGAAUACCGCAAAGAAGGAGGAAAGGUAAAUGUGAACGUUAAAAUCACAUAUACCGGAUGUAUUACAGAAGUAGAAAUAUUUAAAAAAGGGGUAAAGACCUUAAAGUUAUUAGACAAAGCAUUGGAGAUUCUAAAGACAAAUCAUGUCAAAGAGGUAAAAAUAGGAGAUAUACGUAAAAUAAUAAAGUACGUUAAAAAUGCUGAAGACGAUUUUUACAAGGAGCUUCUCGGGACAACUAAUUAAAACCUUACCAAGGAUGACCACUUGCUAGAGUCGAGAAAACGGUCCUCAAUUAUUUGGGUGUCAAUAUGUUAACUCAAAAAAUAUAUACUUUAACUUUAGAUAAUUUUUAUUCGCUUGUAUUGUUGGCCUUUGUUCAUGUUUUGGCUUUACUUAAAAAAGAAAUAUUUGGACUUUCAUCUUUCACUUUCUUAAUGACCUGAUAUUUUCAAUCGCUUAAAUAUAAAUAAUCUCUGUAGAUAGAUUUUUAGUUAUUUCCUUCAAUGUCUCACAAAAACAAAUUAAACAUGACAGAAUAUAAAUAAAUAGGCUCAGCAUCCGCGAGUAGGCGUAAUAAACACGCUCUUAAUAUCCCAAAAAAAAAGAAAUACCAACCGUAUUUUUAAUACCGUCCUGCAGU